GCUCCCCUCAGGGCAUUCCCACUCUCCUCAGGCAUUUCCCACUCCCCUCAGGCAUUUCCCACUCCCCUCAGAAGUGUUCCCGUUCCCCUCACAGCACUCCUGCUCCAAUCAGGUCCAGGUUCCAGUGUUCACAUUGAGGCAGCUCCCUGUAACUCUCAUGCUUCAAACCAGUGGGGUUUAAAAGUUCUCAAGCUAUGUUAGCACUACAUCCAAACCUUGGAAAUGCCCUUUCUGCAGAUGAGAACAUCCUGAGACCAUUUUUGGAAACCCACUGGAACUGAGGCACACCAACAAUCCAUCUUUGCUCCGCAAGAUCCAUGUUACCACAGGACCUGAAGUGUCAGCACUGGACUUGAUCUUCGGUGAUGCUCAGCCCAAAUGCCUUCACUCCCCUCCCUUAUUCACUUCUUGAAGACAAGAGGGACAUGGUGAUAAUUUCCAUGACAACAUAGAAAGAUUCCAGAAACAGAGAUUUCUGACUAAAUAUAUGAAGGUUGUUGAAAAGCACAACUGCAAGAAUUCUGCCAACUCAGUGGGAAUAACAGACAGAAGAGUUAAGCCUCUGUGCGUGUGACAGUGCUGGUACCACCUGUAAAGUCCUGGGAUUCCCAUAUCCUGGUUAUCCCAGGGAUGGGAACUGGGCAUCCUCUCUGCUUGGGUGUUUCAGGAACUGAUCCAAAGAGAAACCUCUGGAUGGACAACUGCUAAAGAGAAUGUGACUCGGGGAAAAAGGAAACCUUCAAAAGAAUGAGAAGUGUGAAAAACUGCCUACAAAAUGCUGCUCCAAGGACAUAUUUUGCCCAAAUAAUCACUUUCAGAAACAGUCAACAUGCUUUUAAAGAAAAAUAACCUGGAAAAAUAGCGAUAUAAAAGUUCCCUUUGAAGAGACCCUGUAAGGCUGAAGCUUGCAUUUGAACAAAUCUCUCCCUAAGUUUCUAAGAACACUUUCUAAACCGCCAUUUAAAACCUUUCAGUUACU